rnacentral:lncRNA from 1 species
UGGUAACACAAGAUAAAUACGAGGGUCAACCAGGGACCCCGGAGAACAGGAAAUGAGAUGAAGAGGUAAAAAAGCGAAGUAUGUACCCAAGAUUACAGCUAAACUAGGACUUGAACCCAUGUCUGUCUGAAGUCCGAGCUGAAACUUUGGCCACUAAAUUGCCCUGUCUCACUACAGAAUUCAAUCCACGUUACUCCAUUGCCAUUUGUUACCACGUCCUUCAGUCUCCUCAAUCUCUCAGUCCCCUUAUUUUUCGUGACCUUGACAACUUUGAGGAGGACUCAUCAGUGAGAAUACCCUGAUUCAUUUGGAAUAGGAAUCACCUUACCUUUCCCAGCCUCACUUCUGGCUGCGAGAGCUCAUGGAGCAGCACUGAGAUUAAUGGCACAUGUGCAGAGGCCCUGGUGUGGGGCUUUUGUGAAUGUUUUUUAAGUUCCUGCCCAGGCUGACUCUAUCAUACAAGCUGUAACUUCUGCCAGUCCUAUCAGCCAGCAAACAAUAAAAGCACUGAGGCUCACAAAAGUGAAGUAACUUUCCUCAAGUCCCAGGGCUGAGAAAUUGCAAACACAUAAUUUGGACUGAAGUUUGCCCCCUAUUCACUGGGGCCACCUGUCUGCCAAUGGGAGUAGGAAAGGCAUUCACCAUCAGAAGGCCACAAAGAGCUCUGAGGAACAAGUACACAAGGAGACAAAGCUGCAGCACUGCCAAGGACAUGGAUCUCUCAAGCUCCUGUCUGGCACAUUGCAGGAAGUAAGGGGCAUGUCUAACCACCACGCUCAGCCAAGCCAAAGAACAAAGGCAGCGGCACUCUCUCUGGACCUUGGGGAAUAACACAGCCCUCCCAGGCAGAAGAUGCAAGCAUUCCUGUUGCAGUGCAAUUAGGAGCAGCGAAGAAACUCAGACAUGUGCCCCUUCUGUGUUGGCAACUGAUAUGACAGAACUUCAUGAGGUGCAAAAUACAGGCUGUGUGUGUGUGUGUGUGUGUGUGUGCACACUCGGUGCUAUAUGCUGCAGCCCAAGUUUCAGAGUGAUUUUUAACUUGAAGCUGAUGAGAUGGGAUAUUGUGUCUUUUUUAAAAAUGUAACCAACAACA